rnacentral:rRNA from 1 species
UACGGAGGGUGCGAGCGUUGUCCGGAAUCACUGGGCGUAAAGGGCGCGUAGGCGGUGCGGUAAGUCACCUGUGAAAUCUCCUGGCUCAACUGGGAGCUUGCAGGCGAAACUGCCGUGCUGGAGUGUGGGAGAGGUGCGUGGAAUUCCUGGUGUAGCGGUGAAAUGCGUAGAUAUCAGGAGGAACACCUGUGGCGAAAGCGGCGCACUGGACCACAACUGACGCUGAGGCGCGAAAGCUAGGGGAGCAAACAGG